rnacentral:rRNA from 1 species
GGGGAAUUUUCCGCAAUGGGCGAAAGCCUGACGGAGCAAUACCGCGUGAGGGAGGAAGGCUCUUGGGUUGUAAACCUCUUUUCUCAAGGAAGAAAAAAAUGACGGUACUUGAGGAAUAAGCAUCGGCUAACUCCGUGCCAGCAGCCGCGGUAAUACGGAGGAUGCAAGCGUUAUCCGGAAUGAUUGGGCGUAAAGCGUCCGCAGGUGGCUAUGUAAGUCUGCUGUUAAAGAGUCUGGCUCAACCAGAUAAAGGCAGUGGAAACUACAUGGCUAGAGUGCGUUCGGGGCAGAGGGAAUUCCUGGUGUAGCGGUGAAAUGCGUAGAGAUCAGGAAGAACACCGGUGGCGAAAGCGCUCUGCUAGGCCGCAACUGACACUGAGGGACGAAAGCUAGGGGAGCGAAUGGGAUUAGAUACCCCGGUAGUCCUAGCCGUAAACGAUGGAUACUAGGCGUGGCUUGUAUCGACCCGAGCCGUGCCGUAGCUAACGCGUUAAGUAUCCCGCCUGGGGAGUACGCAGGCAACUGUGAAACUCAAAGGAAUUGACGGGGGCCCGCACAAGCGGUGGAGUAUGUGGUUUAAUUCGAUGCAACGCGAAGAACCUUACCAGGACUUGACAUGUCGCGAAUUUCUGUGAAAGCAGAAAGUGCCUUCGGGAGCGCGAACACAGGUGGUGCAUGGCUGUCGUCAGCUCGUGUCGUGAGAUGUUGGGUUAAGUCCCGCAACGAGCGCAACCCUCGUUUUUAGUUGCCAGCAUUAAGUUGGGCACUCUAGAGAGACUGCCGGUGACAAACCGGAGGAAGGUGGGGAUGACGUCAAGUCAGCAUGCCCCUUACGUUCUGGGCUACACACGUACUACAAUGCUACGGACAAAGGGCAGCAAGCUAGCGAUAGCAAGCUAAUCUCAUAAACCGUGGCUCAGUUCAGAUCGCAGGCUGCAACUCGCCUGCGUGAAGGAGGAAUCGCUAGUAAUUGCAGGUCAGCAUACUGCAGUGAAUUCGUUCCCGGGCCUUGUACACACCGCCCGUCACACCAUGGAAGCUGGUAGUGCCCGAAGUCAUUACCCCAACUGUUCGCAGAGGGGGAUGCCUAAGGCAGGACUGGUGACUGGGGUGAAGUCGUAACAAGGUAGCCGUACCGGAAGGUGUGGCUGGAUCACCUCCU